rnacentral:rRNA from 1 species
CAAUAGCGUAUAUUUAAGUUGUUGCAGUUAAAAAGCUCGUAGUUGGAUUUCGGUUAAGAGCGACCGGUCCGCCGUUUGGUGUGCACUGGUUGGUUUUAACUUCCUGUAGAGGACGUGUUCUGGGUUUAACGACCUGGACUCGGAGUCUACGUGGUUACUUUGAAAAAAUUAGAGUGUUCAAAGCGGGCUUACGCUUGAAUAUUUCAGCAUGGAAUAACACUAUAGGACUCCUGUCCUAUUUCGUUGGUCUCGGGACGGGAGUAAUGAUUAAGAGGAACAGUUGGGGGCAUUCGUAUUUCAUUGUCAGAGGUGAAAUUCUUGGAUUUAUGAAAGACGAACUUCUGCGAAAGCAUUUGCCAAGGAUGUUUUCAUUAA